rnacentral:rRNA from 1 species
CGAGAAGACCCUGUGGAGCUUUAGACGCCAGAAUAGACCAUGUUAAACACCCCAAGAAAAAGGGCUAAACCAAAUGAGACCUAUUCCAAUGUCUUUGGUUGGGGCGACCUAGG